rnacentral:rRNA from 1 species
UAGGCGUAAAUGAUGCGAGUUAAGUGUGGGGCAUCUACGAGAUGGCCCUGUGCUGUAGGGUAGCCGUUAAACUCGCUGCCUGGGGAGUUCGGUCGCAAGGCUGAAACUUAAAGGAAUUAGCGGGGGAGCACCACAAGAGGUGGAGGCUGCGGUUCAAUUGGACUCAACGCCGGAAACUCAUCGGGAGCGACAGCAGUAUGAUUGCCAGGUUGAUGACCUUGCUUGACAAGCUGAGAGGUGGUGCAUGGCGUAGUCGUGU